GAUGAUGUGGCUCAGAUUGAACGUGGCAGGAUGCUUUACGCCCCAGUCGAACGGCAGCACGGACUUCGGUCUGGUGGCGAGUGGCGAACAGGUGAGUAAUGUAUCGGAACGUGCCUGGUGGCGGGGGAUAGCUACGCGAAAGCGUAACUAAUACCACGCCGCCCUUCGGGGAAAGCGGGACCUUCGGGCCUCGCACUAUUAAACCGGCCGAUAUCCGGUUAGCUGGUUGAGGUAACAGCUCACCAAGGCGACGAUCCGUAGCUGGUUUAGGAAGGACGACCGGCUACGCUCAGGACUGGGGCCACAGCCAGACUCCUACAGGGAGAGCAGCAGUGGGGGUACGGACAAUGGGGAAACCUGAUCAACGUAUCCGCAUUGUGCGAUGAGGCCUUCGGAGUUGUAAGCACUUUUGGCAGGAAAAGCGGCACAGGAUAUGCGUGCAACUGACCAAUGCCUGCAGAAUAAGCACCGGCUAACUACGUGCCAGCAACCGCGGUAAUGCGUGAGGGUGCAAGCGUUAAUCGGAAUUACUGGGCGUAAAGCGUGCGCAGGUUCCGGAAAGAAAGAUGUGAAAUCCCCGGAAACUUAACUUUGGAACUGCAUUUUUGGCUUUCUUACGAAGAGCUAGAGAGUGUGUCAGAGAAUUGGGUGCGAUGUGGCGGUGAAAUGCGUGAAUGUGCGGAGAGACACCGAUGGCAGGCAGCCUCCUGGAUAACGCUGACACGCUCAUGCACGAAAGCGUGAGAACAAACAGGAUUAGAUACCCUGAUGAUCUUUGCCUAAACGAUGUCAACUAUUUGUUGGGCCUUCGGGCCUUGGUAGCCGCAGCUAACGCGUGAAGUUGACCGCACCAGAGUACGGUCGCCGGAGUUAAAACUCAAAGGGAAUGACAGGGGCCCGCCACAAGCGGUGGAUGAUGUGGAUUCGUUCCGUUGACAUGAAAACCACCUACCGCGGGCGUGCCGGGUCAGAGAUUUGGGGUGCUGCAAGAGAACCGGAACACAGGUGCUGCAUGGCUGUCGUCGACUCGUGUCGUGGAUGUUGGGUUAAGUCCGCAACGAGCUGCCCCUGUCGUGGUGCUACGAGAAGGGCACUCUAAUGAGACUGCCGGUGACAAGCCAGGAGGAAGGUGAGGAUGACGUCUGAUCCUCUUGGCCCUUAUGGGUAGGGCUUCACGUCUACGGUGGUCGGGACAGAGGGUCGCCAACCCGCGAGGGCCAAUCCCAGAAACCGGUCGUAGUCCGGAUCGCGGUCUGCGGCUCGACUGCGUGAAGUCGGAUGCUAGUAAUCGCCGGAUCAGCAUGUCGCGGUGAAUACGUUCAGCGGUCUUGGCACAGCAGAUGCUGCCGUGGGAGUACGGAAAUUAGUUAUUUCUUAUGGGCGGUUACCACGGUAGGAUUCAUGACUGGGGUGAAGUCGUAACAAGGUAG
rnacentral:rRNA from 1 species